rnacentral:rRNA from 1 species
GAGUUUGAUCCUGGCUCAGAUUGAACGCUGGCGGCAGGCUUAACACAUGCAAGUCGAGCGGUAACAGGGGUAGCUUGCUACCCGCUGACGAGCGGCGGACGGGUGAGUAAUGCUUAGGAAUCUACCCAGUAGUGGGGGAUAGCCCGGGGAAACCCGGAUUAAUACCGCAUACGUCCUACGGGAGAAAGCAGGGGAUCUUCGGACCUUGCGCUAUUGGAUGAGCCUAAGUCGGAUUAGCUAGUUGGUGGGGUAAAGGCCUACCAAGGCGACCAUCCGUAGCUGGUCUGAGAGGAUGAUCAGCCACAUCGGGACUGAGACACGGCCCGAACUCCCCAACACUGACACUGAGGUGCGAAAGCGUGGGAGCAAACAGGAUUAGAUACCCUGGUAGUCCACGCCGUAAACGAUGUCAACUAGCCGUUGGGACUCUUGAAGUCUUAGUGGCGCAGCUAACGCACUAAGUUGACCGCCUGGGGAGUACGGCCGCAAGGUUAAAACUCAAAUGAAUUGACGGGGGCCCGCACAAGCGGUGGAGCAUGUGGUUUAAUUCGACGCAACGCGAAGAACCUUACCUGGCCUUGACAUCCAGAGAACUUUCCAGAGAUGGAUUGGUGCCUUCGGGAACUCUGAGACAGGUGCUGCAUGGCCGUCGUCAGCUCGUGUCGUGAGAUGUUGGGUUAAGUCCCGUAACGAGCGCAACCCCUAUCCCUGGUUGCUAGCAGGUAAUGCUGAGAACUCCAGGGAGACUGCCGGUGACAAACCGGAGGAAGGUGGGGAUGACGUCAGGUCAUCAUGGCCCUUACGGCCAGGGCUACACACGUGCUACAAUGGCGCGUACAGAGGGCUGCCAACUCGCGAGAGUGAGCCAAUCCCUUAAAACGCGUCGUAGUCCGGAUCGGAGUCUGCAACUCGACUCCGUGAAGUCGGAAUCGCUAGUAAUCGCGAAUCAGAAUGUCGCGGUGAAUACGUUCCCGGGCCUUGUACACACCGCCCGUCACACCAUGGGAGUGGAUUGCACCAGAAGUAGUUAGUCUAACCUUCGGGAGGACGAUUACCACGGUGUGGUUCAUGACCGGGGUGAAGUCGUAACAAGGUAGCCGUAGGGGAACCUGCGGCUGGAUCACCUCCUUUCU